rnacentral:rRNA from 1 species
AUUGAACGCUGGCGGAAUGCUUUACACAUGCAAGUCGAACGGCAGCACGGGGGCAACCCUGGUGGCGAGUGGCGAACGGGUGAGUAAUACAUCGGAACGUGCCCGGUCGUGGGGGAUAACGUAGCGAAAGUUACGCUAAUACCGCAUACGAUCUGAGGAUGAAAGCGGGGGACCUUCGGGCCUCGCGCGAUCGGAGCGGCCGAUGUCAGAUUAGGUAGUUGGUGGGGUAAAGGCCUACCAAGCCGACGAUCUGUAGCUGGUCUGAGGGGACGACCAGCCACACUGGGACUGAGACACGGCCCAGACUCCUACGGGAGGCGGCAGUGGGGAAUUUUGGACAAUGGGCGCAAGCCUGAUCCAGCCAUUCCGCGUGCAGGACGAAGGCCUUCGGGUUGUAAACUGCUUUUGUAUGGAACGAAAAGGCUCUGGCUAAUACCUGGGGCUCAUGACGGUACCGUAAGAAUAAGCACCGGCUAACUACGUG